GUGGGCAUAGCUGAGUGGUAGAGCACAUGCUUAGCAUGCAUGAGGUCCUAGGUUCAAUCUCCAGUACCUCUA
rnacentral:tRNA from 1 species